GCCUUCAUGGUGUAGUGGUCAGCACACUCGACGCGUAUUCGAGAGUUCCGAGGUUCGAGUCCCGGGAAGGGCA
rnacentral:tRNA from 1 species